AGUUCGAUCAUGGCUCAGGUCAGGCAUGGCGGGAUGCUUUAUGCAGUCGAACGGCAGCACGGACUUCCGGUCUGGUGGCGAGUGGCGAACGGGUGAGUAAUGUAUCGGAACUGAUGCCCUAGUAGCGGGGGAUAACUACGCGAAAGCGUAGCUGUACCGCAUACGCCCUUCGGGGGAAAGCGGGGGACCUUCGGGCCUCGCACUGUUGAAGCAGCCGAUCAAUAAGUUAGCUAGUUGGUGGGGUAACGGCUCACAAGGCGACGAUCCGUAGCUGGUUUGAAGAGGACGGCAAGCCACACUGGGACUGAGACACGGCCCAGACUCCUACACGGGGAGGCAGCAGUGGGGAAUUUUGGACAAUGGGGGAAACCCUGAUCCAGCCAUCCCGCGUGUGCAGUGGAGAGCCAGCCUUCGGGUUGUAAAGCACUUUUGGCAGGAAAAGCAGCACGGGAUAAUACCCGUCACAACUGACAAUGCCUGCAGAAUAGCACCGGCUAACUACGUGCCAGCAGCCGCGGUAAUACGUAGGGUGCAAGCGUUAAUCGGAAUUACUGGGCGUAAAGCGUGCGCAGGCGGUUCGGAAAGAAAGUCGCUGAAAUCCCAGAGCGCUGGAACUACGUUUUUUUAACUACCGAGCUAGAGAGUGUGUCCAGAGGGAGGUGGAAUUUAGCGUGUAGCAGUGAAAUGCGUAGAUAUGCGGAGAAGAACACGAUGGCGAAAGGCAACCUCCUGGGAUAACACUGACACUCAUGCGUAAGCGUGGGGAGCAAACAGGAUUAGGUACCCUGGUGGUCCACGCCCUAAACGAUGUCAACUAGCUGUUGGGGCCUUCGGGCCUUGGUGGCGCAGCUAACGCGAUGAGAGUUGACCGCCUGGGAAUACGGUCGCAAGAUUAAAACUCAAAGGAAUUGACGGGGACCCGCACAAGCGGUGGAUGAUGGAUUAAUUCGAUGCAACGCGAAAAACCUUACCUACCCUUGACAUGUCUGGAAUCCCGAAGAGAUUUGGGAGUGCUCGCAAGAGAACCGGGACACAGGUGCUGCAUGGCUGUCGUCAGCUCGUGUCGUGAGAUGUUGGGUUAAAUUACAGCGAGCACAACCGCCCGUAUUGAUUGCUACAAAAGAGACACUCUGUAAUGAGACUGCCGGUGAUCAAACCGGAGGAAGGUGGGGAUGACGUCAAGUCCUCAUGGCCCUUAUGGGUAGGGCUUCACACGUCAUACAAUGGUCGGGACGAGGUCGCCAACCCGCGAGAAGGGCCAAUCUGACGAUCGUAGUCCGGAUCGCAGUCUGCAACUCGACUGCGUGAAGUCAGAAUCCGCUAGUAAUCGCGGAUCAGCAUGUCGCGAGUGGUCCCGUUCCCGGGUCUUGUACACACCGCCCGUCACACCAUGGAUGGGUUUCAAGUAGUUAGCCUAACCGUAAGGAGGGCGAUUACCACGGUAAGUUCAUGACUGGGGUGGAAGUCAUACUAGAUG
rnacentral:rRNA from 1 species